rnacentral:rRNA from 1 species
GGGGGAAUAUUGGACAAUGGGCGCAAGCCUGAUCCAGCAAUGCCGCGUGUGUGAAGAAGGCCUUCGGGUUGUAAAGCACUUUUAUCGGGAGCGAAAAGCGAUCGGUUAACACCCGGUCGUGCUGACGGUACCCGAGGAAUAAGCACCGGCUAACUUCGUGCCAGCAGCCGCGGUAAUACGAAGGGUGCAAGCGUUAAUCGGAAUUACUGGGCGUAAAGCGUGCGUAGGCGGUUAUUUAAGUCCGUUGUGAAAGCCCUGGGCUCAACCUGGGAACUGCAGUGGAUACUGGAUGGUUGGAGUACGGUAGAGGAAGGUGGAAUUCCCGGUGUAGCGGUGAAAUGCGUAGAGAUCGGGAGGAACAUCAGUGGCGAAGGCGGCCUUCUGGACCAGUACUGACGCUGAGGCACGAAAGCGUGGGGAGCAAACAGGAUUAGAUACCCUGGUAGUCCACGCCCUAAACGAUGCGAACUGGACGUUGGGCACAACUUGGUGCUCAGUGUCGAAGCUAACGCGUUAAGUUCGCCGCCUGGGGAGUACGCUCGCAAGAGUG